rnacentral:rRNA from 1 species
AUUGAACGCUGGCGGAAUGCUUUACACAUGCAAGUCGAACGGCAGCACGGGAGCUUGCUCCUGGUGGCGAGUGGCGAACGGCUGAGUAAUAUAUCGGAACGUAUCCAAUAAUGGGGGAUAACUAGUCGAAAGAUUAGCUAAUACCGCAUACGCCCUGAGGGGGAAAGCUGGGGAUCUUCGGACCUAGCGUUAAUGGAGCGGCCGAUAUCUGAUAGCUAGUAGGUGAGGUAAAAGCUCACCUAGGCGACGAUCAGUAGCUGGUCUGAGGGGACGACCAGCCACACUGGAACUGAGACACGGUCCAGACUCCUACGGGAGGCAGCAGUGGGGAAUUUUGGACAAUGGGCGCAAGCCUGAUCCAGCCAUUCCGCGUGAGUGAAGAAGGCCUUCGGGUUGUAAAGCUCUUUCGCAAGGGAAGAAAACUUAACCUCUAACAUAGGUUGAGGCUGACGGUACCUUGAUAAGAAGCACCGGCUAACUACGUGCCAGCCGCCGCGGUAAGAC